rnacentral:rRNA from 1 species
CCUACGGGGGGCAGCAGUGAGGAAUAUUGGUCAAUGGGCGGAAGCCUGAACCAGCCAAGUAGCGUGCAGGAUGACGGCCCUACGGGUUGUAAACUGCUUUUAUACGGGAAUAACGCGCCUUACGUGUAGGGCUUUGCAUUUACCGUAUGACUAAGGACCGGCAAAUUCCGUGCCAGCAGCCGCGGUAAUACGGAAGGUCCGGGCGUUAUCCGGAUUUAUAGGGUUUAAAGGGAGCGUAGGCCGCAUGUCAAGCGUGCUGUGAAAUGUCCGGGCUCAACCCGGGCCUUGCAGCGCGAACUGGCGUGCUUGAGUCCGCGGAAAGCAGGCGGAAUUCGUCGUGUAGCGGUGAAAUGCUUAGAUAUGACGAAGAACCCCGAUUGCGAAGGCAGCUUGCUGCAGCGGAACUGACGCUGAUGCUCGAAAGCGCGGGUAUCGAACAGGAUUAGAUACCCGGGUAGUC